rnacentral:rRNA from 1 species
UACGGAGGAUGCGAGCGUUAUCCGGAUUUAUUGGGUUUAAAGGGUGCGUAGGCGGGCUUUUAGGUCAGCGGUAAAAAUUCGGGGCUCAACCCCGUCCGGCCGUUGAAGCUGGGGGCCUUGAGUGGGCGAGAAGAAGGCGGAAUGCGUGGUGUAGCGGUGAAAUGCAUAGAUAUCACGCAGAACCCCGAUUGCGAAGGCAGCCUUCCGGCGCCCUACUGACGCUGAGGCACGAAAGUGCGGGGAUCGAACAGG